CCCUUAGAUGUUCUGGGCUGCACGCGUGCUACACUGAUAUUGCCAAUAUGUCAUUCUUAUCCGAAAUGGAUUGGGUAAUCAAGUAAUGAAAUUUCAUGCUUGGAAUCGGUAAUUGCAAUUUUAUCGUGAACGAGGAAUUCCUAGUAAGCACUAGUCAUCAGCUAAUGUUGAUUAUGUCCCUGCCCUUUGUACACACCGCCCGUCGCUCCUACCGAUGAAUCGUCCGGUGAAGUUCACAGAGUGGCGGUUCGUGGAGUUGCUCGCGAAGUGAAAUGGACCUCACGAUUUAGAGGAAGGAGAAGUCGUAACA
rnacentral:rRNA from 1 species